AUGGAGUUGAUUAUGGAGUGGCUCACGUAAAUCUUGCUGCUGCAGACAACAAUGAUAAGAAAUCAGAUUAAAUGACCAUCCGUAAAUGAAUGUCCGCUAGUGCCAAGACACUGUUUUCAGAAGAUUAAUUUUUAUCAAGCUGGAUGAUAUGAAUUUUUGCUAUCAUAGUCUGUCCGGAAGCAAAGUGGCUCAUUGAGCUUUAAUGGAUAAUACUUCCUAAGACCCAAAGGAGUGAGCUGCUUUCGGAACUAGUGAUGAAGCCCUCUAACAAUUUCCAGUGGCGAGUGAUUUCCAUUUGAAGCCCGGCCAUCAGUAGAAUCAUCGAUGAUGGUGAAGCAAGCUAUAUUACAGAUGUAUCCUGUCUUGUCUCUAUCUCACUUGAAGCGAGGUCAGAUACCAGAUUUGUUAUCUCUCUCAUCUACUCUUGCAAUCAGGUGGAAGGAGGACGUUGUUACCUCUGUACCCGUGCUCAUUGUCAGUUUUAAGUGUGAUGUGAAGAAGGUGGUCAUUAUGGAGUUCAAAGAACCUUUCUGGAAAGAUUCUAUUCCCCUCAGUUCUUGCAGAGUUUGCAUCAAAUCUUUCUGCUGUAAACAACAUCGGAUUGCUCACGAGACUGAAGUGCACCCAAGCCAAUUAUCCGAAGUUGAAUCUUUACCAGAAAUAUGCCAGAAAUGUCAUGUCCUCGUGAGUAACUGCAAAGACCUUAAAAGUGAAUGUGUCAAAAUUGUAAGUGUUCCAUUAACAAAUAUCAAUCCAAAUACACCAAUAAUCAAUCGUGUACAUAAGAGAACUUAUGCUCAAAUGAACAUAGCCAAAGAGCGGCGUCCAACACCAAUGCCAACCAAUGCUCAUCCUUUGCGAGCCAAAAGAAAUGCAAAAAGGAAAGCUUGCAAGUCCAAAGAAACCUCCACCAAAGAAAUACUGAAGGAAAAUUCCUCUGAAACAAGUCCUCGAUUUGAAGAAAUCAAGUCAAGUAGCACUCCGAUUCGCAACCACCAUGAUCCUUUGCGGGUGAAAUUACUAAAAAGUAAAAUUGAGGUCCCAAGACAGACUCUAAGUGUGAGUACACGGACUCUGUCACCAUCACCUCAGCGCAAAAGACCAAACUUGUCCAUUGAAAAAAGUUGUCUAAUUUCAAGUGAAGUAAAAAAUGCUGUCUCUGAAUCUCCUCCACAAAACACAAUGGAUAUUUCUGUCUAUGGAACUCCUUGUGCCGAAACAGUCACUCCAUUUCACUGUCCCAAAAAACACAACGUUCAUUUUACUCACGUCUCUAUUUAUGAAGCAACAAAGUCAAGGGACUCCUUAACUUCUGCUAGCGUGAACUUCAGUGACAACUUUUCAAACGAAGACAUCAAUGUUGCUGGAGAAGCAGAAAAUGAAUGCGGUGCAUUUGUUCAUUCGAGAGACCAACUAAUGGACGGAAAUCACGCACCUGUUGAAAGUGUUUCCAGAAACAACCCACAGCCAACAGCUAACCUUCAAUGCAUGGAUACAAGUAUAGACAUCUCCAAUAACAUAGUUGCUCUAGCUAAGGACUCUUCGGAAUCAAAUCUCAGGCAAGAUUCUUUGAACUCAUCACCUUGCUCCAAUGCUCACACCCACACUAAAACACCAGAUUGCACAGUCUUUUUUUCACCUCAUCCCAUCAAAGCUGAUCUAUCUAUCCAUCCAAAUUACAGGCAAGAAUUUGAUUUAUCUCCUUCGGAAUCAGAGUUAGAGUGGAAAUCCUUUUUUGUGGUAGAGAAGACUCCGUCGCCAGCUCAAAUCACAGGACAUGUUAUAAAUCAUUCAGUGCAAAUCUCUGACAUUGAUCCUGUAGAGAACCAGAUUUUUCCGAACGUCGACAGCAAUGGAGAGCCAAAACCUGAUCAUGUUCCAGUACCCAACAUUCAAGAUUAUGAGGUUGUUUCCAGUGACCCCAUCAAAACUGAUCUACCUCGAGUUUUGGCAGUUCCAGAUUCUGGGCAAGAAUUUAAUUUAUCUCCUUUGGACUCAGAGUUAGAGUGGAAAUCCUUUUUUGUGGGAGAGAAAACUCCGUCUCCAGCCCAAAUCCCAGGACUGAUCAAAAAUCAUUCAGUGCGAAUCACUGACAUUGAACCUGCAGAGAACCACAUUCUUCCGAACGGCGACAACAAUGAAGAGCCAAAACCUGAUCGUGUUCCAGUACCAAACAUCCAAGAUUACGAGGUUGCUUCCAGUAAUCCUUUAAAGACAACAGGAAGUGUCUCAAUGGCAGAUAAGUCAACCAGCAAUCAAAUCAGCAGCAGCAGUGUCAGAUGUGUCUCUGAAUCUUGCGAUGCUGAUCAUGCGGCUGGCAGCGUGAUUUGUACGGAUGAAAAUAAGGUGAUGGAACCAAAGUCAAACCCUGCUCAAGUGUCACACUUUUAUCUUGAUGACUCUCAAUUUAAACUCGUCAAUUGUCACAGCACUCCAAUGGUGCCAGCUAUACUGCGAUUGAAUACAUCUUUGGAUGAGUCUGUCUCCUUCAACAGAGAAAAUUGUCUGUCUGACUCAGGCACUCCAGGUCAAGCAGGUCUCAUAGGAUUCGCCAAGAAAGGUAUCAAAUCGCUGUUUCCUUCUCUCUUCAAGCAAAGAAGGAGCAAGAGCGCAGAAGAUUUGUCCUCAUUGGCCUCAAAGAGUCCGCUUGUUACAAGUGGGAUCAGUCCUCUCAAAAGUUCGAAUUUUCAUUCUCCUCUGUCCACUUCAGUGAGAAACGUCCAAACUACCACUACUGUCUGCGUGAGCGAGGAAACUUCUACUUCUGCUGAGCAGACGGCAGCUUUAAGUGCUGUUUUGAAGAGAAAGCCUAUUUGGGGAUGGCCAAAACGCCGCCGGCCCAUCUGGGAAAAACAACCCCCUCGUUUCUCUGAAGACUGAAAGACUGAAGUAGACAUUGUUAGUAAGUCAUCUUUUACGCAAAUUCCCUCACAAUAGUUCAUGUGGCUGAAAAAGAAUGCCAGUAAAGGGAAAGUGAAAUUUUUAAUACUAAUUUUAAACUGUACAAAAUAAUUUAGGAUAAAUAAUGCUCUAAUAGUAAGUUUAAUUUUUAAAGAUUGAGAUUAGUUUUUCAAUUUUUAAUGUGUUCAGUCAUUUUAAGAUUUUUAUCUAACAUAAUGCCCAAGUAUUUCAAUGAGGUAGCUUUUUCAAAGAUUUUGUCCUAUCGCAUCAAAGUAGGAAAAACUGUGAAAAACAAGAAAGUUAAUUUACCAGAGUUUGUCAGUUAUAUUGUAGAGUAUAUAGUUAACUAUAAUGUACGAAUCAAUCUCGAGAAUUUCAAGGAGUUUGUCACUAAUAACAUAAAGAAUAUCAUUAGCAAAUAAAGACAAAAUUUUGUUCACGCUAACUUUAAGUUUCAAAGGGAAAAUACAAUCAUUCACAAAUAUAAGAAAUAAAACAGGGCCUAAGACUGACCCCCGAAAUACUCUAAAAAGAAAUUCGAACAAAGAGGAAAUAUAUUCCUAAAUUUUAUUAUUUAUUACAACGCAUUAUUUUUUUAUUUCUCUCUUAUUGUAACUCUUAUCUACUGUAAACUUAUCCAGUCCAAGCCUUAGCAACCUCAAGCACUCAAAGUUAAUGGGAUCAAGAUCCUUUGAAAGAUCGAAUACUGUAGUAAGUAACAGUGGCUCAAUUAAUUGUAUUGUUUUCAGCAAUUUUCUCAACUGCAGUUUUUAUAGCCACGUCCUUGGACAUAUCCUGUCUAAAAUUAAAUCGCAUGUUAUGAAGGUAUUGUUUGCCUGCAGGUACUUAUGUAAUUGUUUUAUUGCUAAUGACAAUUUCAAAAACUUUGGAAAUAGAUGAAACAAGAGACAGAGGUCUAUAGUUACUUAAGAUCCUACGAUCACCUUUUCUGAAGAGGGCAUACUUUGAUGGGGUGGGAAAUCACAAGAUGUUAAUGAGAAAUUUAAUAAGCAAACUAGAUUGGGCGCUAGUUCUUCUUUGCAUUCUUUCAAAAGCCAGUUAUUGUUACCGUCAUGACCAACUCAUUCGCCAUUUUUUAAUUUAUCAAUUGCUCUCAGAACCUCAUAGCUAUUUGUCUUACCUAAUUUAAAAGUAAUUGCUCGCGUGAUUACUACAAAAUUCAUUUUAAUAGGAGUCUCAUGAACAUAAUUGCAAAAGUGAACUGAAGAAUAGUAAUUCAUUGACAGUUCGGCUUCAUUUUGAAGUUAGGGAAAAAUUAGGCAGCAGUGUAUCUCGUAUUCAACUCUUGUUGUACUAAUGCAUUCAGUAUUGUUCUAUGACCCACAGGUCAACUUUGCAAGUGUAAUAAAUUUUCGCAAAUGAUCUUUGCAUACAGAUAUGUAGAUUUUUAUACAGAUUUCCAUCGGUUCAAACUAUUAACAGCUUUAAAGAGCAUGGCUGACUUUUGAGCAAUAAAUCACAAUUUUUAAAGCAAGUAAACGAUUUGUACCAUUAAG
rnacentral:lncRNA from 1 species